UACAACUUUCAACAACGGAUCUCUUGGCUCUCGCAUCGAUGAAGGACGCAGCGAAAUGCGAUACGUAAUGUGAAUUGCAGAAUUCAGUGAAUCAUCGAAUCUUUGAACGCACCUUGCGCCCCUUGGUAUUCCGAAGGGCACACCCGUU
rnacentral:rRNA from 1 species